CUACAAGAUCACUUUUCAAAUGCUUGAAAUGAUCUCCAUCUUCACAUUGGCCCUCAUUUUCCCAGCCAAGCCUUCACUCCUCCUGGCUAAAUAUCUCCAGUUUUUCAACUUCUCAUAUGGCACAGAGUCAGGACUCUUGUAGCAUCUUUGUCAGCCUCCUUUGGAUGGUCUCUAGCUCAUCAAUUUCCUUCUAAAAUAUGGUACCCAGAGCUGAACAUAGUACUGCAAAUGCAGCCUGAGCUAGAGAAGACCUUGUCCAGAGAAGUCUGUGACACCAGAGUGGAGGCCUGGUGGAAGUCUGGCCAAAGCCUCCACGUGUGGCAGCAGCUUCUGUAGUUUCUCAGCCCAGAGACUAUAUGACAAGUGCUCAGGAGGAGAUUACAGAGGAUCCUUUGCUGGCACAGGGGCCCUCCUUCAUCUGUCAGCCAGUGAAAUUCAUGCUGCUCUAGGAACAGGAUCCUACCUAGGAGGGAACUGAAGACUACCGGAGACCCAACUGGUCAAGAAGUUCUCUUUUGGCUCUGUGGAUGGUGCAGUUCUCCCCUCCCCAAUCCAUUGCCCAAUGGGUAGAGAAAUUCAAGUUUAUUGAAAACUACCAAGAAAAAGAAGAAAUCGUUCAUUCUCCUGGAGGCCAUUUGCAGAAGGUAAGGACUGUGGAAGAGGCAUGGAGGAAGAAAGAAUUUCAAGCAUGCAAGAAACAAAGCUGGGCUCCUGAUCUGUCAAUCAAGGUGAAGAUUCCAAAACAGAAUGUUCCCAGGAAAGGCAGUUGGGAGCCUGGCCAGAGGAGAUGAACUGAAAAACUUCUCUGGGGUUACUGACCAAGGGAGAGACUUCUUCUUUGGGGUUACUGACUAAAGGAAAAACUUCUCUGGGGUUACUGACCAAGGGAGAAACUUUUUCUCUGGGGUUCCUGACCAAGGGAGACUGAUUUCAUCUGUCCUAGGUUGAAGGACCUUUGGGGGAGGGGGGCUUCUGGAAUUAACCUGAGAAGAAAUUAAACUUUGUUGGUGGCUUUGUAUAAUUGGAAGAAGAAAUAAGAUUUAACAGUUGUUCUUCAUCUCUCUGACUGUCUCUGAGUCAACAGUUGUGACUGGACUGACAUUUCCCAAACCCUCCUAAUUCUCCUUAUAGAUUAAGGUCACCCCUAUCCCUUUCACCUCAAUUCCCAUCCUGUUUGUUCCCAAUAAACCCCUUUACUUGAGAAAGGAAAAGGAAGGA
rnacentral:lncRNA from 1 species